rnacentral:misc_RNA from 1 species
UAAAUAAAAAUAUCGUCUGCCCAUGCCGCGCGAGAGUGGAAACUAGAGCUUCUGUCAACAAUAUUGUGAUACUUAGUUCUUAUUUAUAUAUUUUACUGUCUUAUUAUUACCUUUUCGUAGAUUAUUUUUAUUAAAAUCUGUUUCCAUUAUGUCUUCCAUUAAAUGGUUACCUUUGGAAUCCAAUCCUGAAGUGAUGAAUAAGUUUUUGGAAAAUUUGGGUGUCCCAUUCAAGUGGGGUAUAUCAGAUAUAAUUUCACUAGAUGAGGAGUUCUUGCAUAUGAUUCCAAGUCCAGUGCUUGCAGUCUUGCUUCUCUUUCCUAUUACUGAAAAGUAUCAAGAGCAUUGUGACAAGCAAGAAGAGCUAUUAAAAACUGAAAAGCAAGAUACUGAUCCUGAUGUUUUCUUCAUGCAUCAAACUAUCAGAAAUGCAUGUGGAACUGUGGCUUUAAUUCAUGCUAUUGCUAACAACAUGGAUAGUUUAUGUCUGGAUUCUGAAUCAGUUGUAAAAAAGUUCAUUGAGGAAUCUCGCUCUUUGAGUCCCAGAGAAAAAGCUGAAAUACUUGAGAGCAGCCAGGAAAUUAGUGCUGCUCAUGAAGCUAUGGCUCAACAAGGUCAGACUGAAGCACCUGGUGUGGAUGAUGAAAUCAACUUGCAUUUCAUUGCUCUUGUCAAUGUCAACUCCAAGCUAUAUGAUUUAGAUGGGCGUAAGUCAGUGCCAAUAUGUUGUGGUCCAACUAGUAAAGAAUCUUUCAUGAAGCAAGAAAAGAGCAUUGGGUCUGGCUAAGAGCAAACUAAUCUUCUGUUCAAAAAGCUAAAUGUCUUUGGUGUGCUAAAGAGUUAGACAUUUCGCAUAUGCGGGAAGCAACUUUAAAAACAUACAUUGAAGGAGUUCAGUAUUCUUCAUUCCUGAAAGCUGAAGAAAUCCUAUCUACUGCCAUUGGAAAAUGUUUUUUUAAAAUCAGAUGGAAAUAGCAGGGAAGAUGAUGAUGAUGUUACAACGAAUAUAUUUUUCUUUCGCUACAGCCUAAAGCUAUCACAAUAAGUGUCUUCCAGUGGAUUUGCUCUGAUGCUAUGGUCUGCCAAUUGUUGAUCUUACGUUAACAAUAAUGGAAACAUUGCUUCUGUUUUUCUUGGCCACCUAAGUUCAAAAGAUGUUUUGGUUGCAGAAAUAUUAGUGUGCUUGAAAGUUAUCACGACACAACUCGUGUUAAUUCAGCAGUGACAUUCUAAAUAUGUUUUCAUUCAUGUUUCCUGAUGGCUUCAUUGGAAUAAACUUUUCUUGCAGUAAAAGAAAAAUGGCAUUUCUUAGUCGUUUUAAGGUCGUGCUACAUUUUGAAGGAAUCUAAAAUUCAUUGCAAAUGUUGUGCACUUUAUCUGAGUCUUUAAGUAAGAUAAUACAAAGCAGCUGUAUAUCCAUGUUAAAUAAUUUCAAUCAUAAUGUAAAAAGGUUGUUACCUCGUAUUUAGCUUCACUAUUUAUGGGCCAUACAACUGCUGCUGAUUUGUAAUCUGCUUUCCCCUCAGCUAUGGGAAAAUAAGAUUUAAAAAAGUUGUAAUUAUAAUUGGUGCUCUAACUGAAAAUUGGUGCUUUUACGAAAAAUUUCAAACAGAUCUAAAAAGAAAAGAAAAAAGAAUUGAAUAUUGAAUGUUUAUCAAUACUCAAUUUGUGGAUUAUAUAUUUUGAAUAACGCAUUUUGUAAAGGGACAGAACAGAAUUUGUCCUUCAUUUUCAAAGAUUUGUAUUACUUAUUUAAUAUUUCCCCUGCACAAGCAGUAAAACUCCUUUAGAAUUUUGCAACCAUUUGUUUUCGGAAAAUGCAUCUGUCAUUUUAAGAUCUUAAUAUCGACCCGAAUUUCUUAUAUUCAGUGAAAAGUAGUUGCUAAGCUGUCUAAAAUCAAAAGCAAUCGUUUUUCAGUUAUUCAAAUAGGAGUUGAAGACAAACUUGUGUCUGUAAAGCUACUGCUUUUGCAGAUAUUGCCUUCCAUUUUCUUACCUUCGAUCAUGGAUUCAGUGUGAACAAGAACAGUGAAUUUGAGUGACAAUUUAAAGAAAAUUUAUUUACUGUUUUAAAAAACUGUAGAGGACUUCCUAAAGUUAACAUUAUGAAAUAAAUGUGUGAUUCAUGUAGCAGUGCACUUACUAAGUAGUUUACUUAGAAACCCAAAAGGUUAAGCAACAGGAAAGUGAAAAAAUAAUAAAUAAAAAGAAGGCAUAUUUUAUUUGAAAUUCAGGAAGAUAGAUUUAGAGAAACAUGUUUCAAACUUAAACAGUGAAGCAUGGAAGCUGGCUCAACUAGCAAAGAAAGAUAUUUUUAAAAAAAUGAAAUUCUCUUACUAUAAGAAAAACCAUAACUGAAAAUCAGAAGUUAGUGCUAUAGCUAAGAAAGAAAUUUUCUGACAAAUAAUAAAUUCUCUAUCUUUUUAUGUAAAUGAUCCAGGCAAGAACUUAUCACCUUAUCAUUUUAAUAAUUUUUUUUAAUUUGUUUUUAUUUAUUUAGUUUUUUCAGCCAAGUUUUUUAUUUUUUAUUAUAUUUAUUUAUUUGUCUUCUACAGUGUUAUAAUAAACCUCCUUUUACAUGGUCCCAUUUUGCAUUUAAGUAUAAUUGUUAUUUUAAAGUGCAUUAUCUAUUUAAAAAUAUAGUUAGUAACUCCAUAUUUCUUAAGUUGAAAAUUAUACAUAAAAUGUUUUUAUGGUGGCUAAUAAAAUCAAGAAUGUAAUUCUUUACUAGAAACUCGUAUAAU